AAUUUCAGCGUUCUUUCUGCAAUGGAAACAAAUAGCAUAAAAGAAUACUACAUGUUCUCAGAAUGAAAUGCUAUCUUCUGCUUUAAUUCCUAUGUUCGACAGCCUAGUAGUGACCUCACAGUGGAUUCUGUGAUGAAAACUAUGCUGCAGCUGGAGACUCGAGUCUCCAGUCAUGUGGAGUGCUAUCUCACACCUGUGCUCACGAAGCCAAUGUGUGUGCUUCCCUUUGCCUCAACCCCUUCAGGCUUUAGUUCCUCACAACUUUGGGCUGGGAAGCAAGAACAGGAUUCUUGAUUCUUCAGGGGAUACUCAGGUGGAGGAGGAAGAAGAAAUCAGCAUUUGGAGACAAUAAAAUGGGAAAGCCUAUCAUCUAGACCUGCUUCGUCCAAAAUUAUGGGUGCUUCGCCUAUGGAGCCUAAAGAUUCUCAUCAAACCUCCAGUAGUCACUAUUUCUGUGUCUUCCUUGUCUGGAAGCUGUUGUCAGAGUGGCACUAAGAGUUCUACGCUUGUCAACAGGAGCAAUUUUAAUCCUCACCUCCAAAGCCUGCAAAACAUUACAUUUCAAAAUGUGUGACUCUGUAUUUCAGUUUUCUACAAAAGUAAUGUCUUUGCAGAUUUGUAUUUUGUUUUUGUUGUUAAUAUUAUUUGGGAAUAAAUGAAA
rnacentral:lncRNA from 1 species